CUAGUUGUUGCUGGUCUUUGUUGUUUGUAAUGUUGGGAUGUUUGGUCAUCCUUGUUUGAUUCUGGUCUGUCUGUCCCUCCUGCUCUCGGUGUUGGCUGUUUGACGCUGGACCAUUGUGACUUUGACCCUGGAUUUGCCCCUAAUAGAAGUUGCUUAUUUCGGUGUAUGCGUCCGCCUCCUUGCUCCCAACCGCCACAGCACUCAGGGACCUGCAGUUCAAACAUUUUAGCUACUUCUACCUGGAAUUCUAUUGUGUUUAAAGUGUACUUACUGUUAUUUCUUGCAACAAAAUCAGUGAACUUGAAACUCCACCAGAAUUAAAGGUUAAUCAUACUUGACACAAAGCAUGAAAAGCUGAACAGAGAGAGAUGAGUGUCACAGAGGACAGGUUUCCACCUUCGUUACAUUGCGCAAUGUGGGGUCGACUCACAUGGUGUGAAAAUGGAACUAAUCCUUCAACUAAGGGAAGAGAUGAAAACCAGAAGUGAAGACACAAGAUCUUUCAAAAGGUCUGGGGAGCCUCAGAAUCAACAACAAAAUAAGACAGUUGAAGAUCCUAAGCCACUCUUGGGCCCUAACUUCGCAUAUUUCAACAAAUAUGGACAGGAGUCAUUCCCUGGUUUGCCUUCCACAAGCUAGAGAUCCUGCAGUCGCACCACCACCCAAAAGAACCUGGCAAAUGCUGUAUCCAGUGAGCAGUGGAAGGUGCUUCACUUUAUAGAUCAUGAGAAGGUGGUGGAGCAUCCAGCUGCUGGAGAAGUUUCCACUCAAAAGCCAUUUUUUUUCUUCAUCUAUUUUUGGAAUGAAUUUAGUGGGUGCCUCAGUUCCAGUUGAAUAAAGUUGCAAACAAUAUAAUUAGAGAUUCACAUCCUGACUUACAGCCCUGGCCGUACACGAGACCCAGAACACCGAGAGCCAACGUCCACCCUGUCACGGUCACAGCUGUGAAACAGCCUCGUGAGCCUUUGGUAUGUGGGAACUGCUUUAACAAGGACCUUAGCAGCAGAUUUUAUAUGAACCUUUUUGAUGUACACAUCAGCCCUAUAACUUUCAGAGAAGAUGUUUAAAUGUGAGUUAAUGUAAUCGCUAUGUGCUUCAAUACUCAACUUUCAGUUUCAGAAGAGUGCAGUAUACGACUAAAAUAAACAUAUAACUGAAA